AUUGAACGCUGGCGGCAUGCUUUACACAUGCAAGUCGAACGGCAGCGCGGGGCAACCUGGCGGCGAGUGGCGAACGGGUGAGUAAUAUAUCGGAACGUACCCAGAAGUGGGGGAUAACGUAGCGAAAGUUACGCUAAUACCGCAUACGAUCUACGGAUGAAAGGAGGGGACCGCAAGGCCUUAUGCUUUUGGAGCGGCCGAUAUCUGAUUAGCUAGUUGGUGAGGUAAAGGCUCACCAAGGCGACGAUCAGUAGCUGGUCUGAGAGGACGACCAGCCACACUGGAACUGAGACACGGUCCAGACUCCUACGGGAGGCAGCAGUGGGGAAUUUUGGACAAUGGGCGCAAGCCUGAUCCAGCAAUGCCGCGUGAGUGAAGAAGGCCUUCGGGUUGUAAAGCUCUUUUGUCAGGGAAGAAACGGUAGAGGCUAAUAUCCUUUGCUAAUGACGGUACCUGAAGAAUAAGCACCGGCUAACUACGUG
rnacentral:rRNA from 1 species